rnacentral:lncRNA from 1 species
UCCAUUCCUCGAUUUAAUAUCUAUAUUACUAAACAGCUCAUGAAGUAUUCCAUCAAUAUCAUCAUGCAUAUUAGAACCUUCAUCAUCAUUGAUUAGCUGAUGUGUCUUUCUUAGUGAAGCACUUUCUCCAUGGAAAGUCCAUUUGGUGUAACUAGGAAGAAACCUUCUGGAAAGUAAGUGAUCCUCCACCAUAUCUCUAUAAUGCCAAUGUUGAUUCUU